GGUGAAAUGUCUAUAUAACACAAGAAUACAAGAGCUAUUUUAUUUAACACAAAAAAUAAAUACACAAACCACACCAUAUAAGAUUAAAAACAUAAACUACAAUACACAAAUCAGUUUCUUUUUUUAAUUUGGGAAAACAAUAUUGAUAUUUGAACAAUCCCUUCUAAAUCUCUAAUGCUUAAUUUAAUUACAUUUUUGACUGAUACAAUCAGUCACAAACCAUUUUUCACUCACUUUGGACACAAGUAGCAAAACUUUAAUUACCGUCACUAAUCCACACUCACGGGGUUUGAAUCGAACUCGCAAAACUAUUAAUUAACGCCAACGCAUUACUAGUCACUUCCUUCACCUUCACCGCGCGUUCACAAACAUCUGUCUUCACAUCAUCCGCCACAUCAUCAAACCCAUCCGUACACGUCUCCACAUUCGUCAACGCCGCACUCAUCCACGUUUGCACAUUGCUGAGGUGGAACCUCAUCCCCUCAUGGGACCCACCCAGCCUUCUCAUUUCGCUUAACGACCCCCGGAUUUCAUCCACCGCGUCGCGGAACACGGAGUAGCAAUCGUGUACCGCGGCUGCGGCUCUUGGGCUGCAGCUGUAGUCAGCGUGGCGCGUUAUGUUGGCUACGUAUUUAGCCAUGUGGCUGGCUUGGAAGAGUGUCACGCCGAUUGCGGCUCGAGCCAGCCGACCCGGGUCUUGUUUACGGAGUAGCCGGAUAGAGAGGUGAAACAUGUUUGUGGGUACAAGGUUGUUUUGCAACUUGUACGGAUGAAAUCUUUGUCAUUUGACUCAUUUGGUUGUGGUGAUGGUGAUGGUGGUAAGGGGUUGCUAGUGGUGGUGGUGGUGGUUAUGGUUGUUAAGGUGGUUGAUAGGAGGAAUAUGAUGAUUGGGAUUUGGGUUUUCAUUUUUUUUUUUUUUGGUUGAGAGUUUGAAAAUGAGUU
rnacentral:lncRNA from 1 species